GGGCCAGUGGCGCAGUUGGGAGCGCGCGUGACUGGCAGUCACGAGGUCGCGGGUUCGAACCCCGCCAGCUCCACCA
rnacentral:tRNA from 1 species